rnacentral:rRNA from 1 species
GACGAACGCUGGCGGCGUGCCUAAUACAUGCAAGUUGAGCGAUGAAGACUGGUGCUUGCACCAAUUUGCAGAGCAGCGAACGGGUGAGUAACGCGUGGGGAAUCUGCCUUUGAGCGGGGGACAACAUUUGGAAACGAAUGCUAAUACCGCAUAACAACUUUAAACAUAAGUUUUAAGUUUGAAAGAUGCAAUUGCAUCACUCAAAGAUGAUCCCGCGUUGUAUUAGCUAGUUGGUGAGGUAAAGGCUCACCAAGGCGAUGAUACAUAGCCGACCUGAGAGGGUGAUCGGCCACAUUGGGACUGAGACACGGCCCAAACUCCUACGGGAGGCAGCAGUAGGGAAUCUUCGGCAAUGGACGAAAGUCUGAACGAGCAACGCCGCGUGAGUGAAGAAGGGUUUCGGAUCGUAAAACUCUGUUGGUAGAGAAGAACGUUGGUGAGAGUGGAAAGCUCAUCAAGUGACGGUAACUACACAGAAAGGGACGGCUAACUACGUG